rnacentral:lncRNA from 1 species
GGUUUAAUCCAUCCAAAAAAUUCACAAGUCGCUGUCGCUCUAUCCAUUUGCGAAACACAUCAACAUCACCAGGAUGAGUAGGGGUAAAGGGACUAUAAAAAUCAAAAUCGUUCCACAACCUUUUUAAUUCUCCAACAUACUCUGUUACAGAUCGGGAACCCUGAUUAAGUCCUCGAAGCUCUCGCUGGAUCUUAUGGACAUACAUAUUAUUGCCUUUAUAAGAAUAAGUUGUGGCUACAGCCUGCCAUAACUCAUAAGCAUUCGUUAGUGCCUCAACCGUAUGAGCAACACUUGGUACCAUAGAGGCAAGGAGCCAUGCUACCACCCGAGAGUUAUUAGAAUU